rnacentral:rRNA from 1 species
AUUGAACGCUGGCGGCAAGCCUAACACAUGCAAGUCGAACGAGUAGCGGACGGGUGAUUAAUUUCUUGGAAACUGCCUUAUGGAGGCAGAUAACUACUGGAAACGGUAGCUACUACCGCAUACCAUCGAAUGUGCCCAGAUGGGAUUAGCUAGUAGGUGGGGUAAAGGCUCACAUAGGCGACGAUCCCUAGCUGGUCUGCGAGGCUGAGCAGCCACACUGGAACUGAGACAAGGUCCAGACUCCUACGGGAGGCAGCAGUGGGGAAUAUUGCACAAUGGGCGAAAGCCUGAUGGAGCCAGGCCGCGUGAAUGAAGAAGGCUUUCGGGUUGUAAAGUUCUUUCAGCGGGGAGGCGUUACCCGCAGAAGAAGCAACGGCUAACUCCGUGCCAGCAGCCGCGGUAAUUC